AGAUCAUCGAAGAAAAAGCUGCUCUGAUUUCUGUGGGAGAGAGAGAAAGAAGAGAAAAGAAGAGAGAGGCAAAGCGAUAAACUGGCCGCCGGAACUCUGAUUAUGGCCGCAUAGGCUCAGCAAGGGGCAGGCCCUGGCAGCGCAGGAUUGCCUCGACUGCUGUAAGUGACUGAUGCUCGGAGUACUUUGUGCUCGUCCUAAGCCUUGGAUUCUCGUUUCCCUCUCCAAUUUCAUUCACGGCUCGGCCGCUCAUCAUCACCACCACCAUCAAAGCCGGCUACUCGUUCAGAGUCCCAUCCAAUUCGAUCGGCGACAGCGCCACCAUUCCAGCGCCUGCAAACUCGCGGGCGGUGGUGCUGCUUCGAUAUGGCACGCAAUAUUGCCCUCUGGUGCGGGAAGCGGUAGCAAUAUCUGUCGUCCGGCGAUUCACUGCCAUGAGCGCAAGGGGGAGGGAUCUUGGAACGUCGCCUGGGACGCUCGCCCGGCCCGCUGGCUUCACCGUCCCGAUUCGGCUUGGCUGUUGUUUGGCGUCUGUGCCUGUAUUGCGCCGCUCGAUUGGGUGGAUGCAAGUCAUGAGGCUGUAUCGUUAGAUCAGAAGAAGGAAGGGUGUGAAUCGAGCGGCCCUGGAUUCAAUCAAGACGAUGAGAGCUCCGCCGAUUACAGAGUGACAGGCGUGCUAGCGGAUGGUCGGUGCCUGUUUAGGGCAAUCGCUCAUGGGGCUUGCUUGAGAAGUGGGGAAGCAGCUCCCGAUGAUGAUCGUCAAAGAGAACUCGCUGAUGAAUUGAGGGCUAAGGUCGUGGAUGAGCUCUUAAAGAGGCGGAAGGAAACAGAGUGGUAUAUUGAAGGAGAUUUUGAUGCAUAUGUGAAGAGAAUUCAGCAACCUUUCGUGUGGGGUGGAGAACCCGAGUUACUUAUGGCAUCACAUGUCCUGAAGACACCAAUAUCAGUAUUCAUGAGAGAGAGAAGCUCAGAUGGUCUGAUAAACAUAGCCAAGUACGGUCAGGAGUAUCAGAAGGGUGAAGAAAGUCCUAUCAACGUGCUGUUUCAUGGGUAUGGUCAUUAUGACAUUCUGGAGACCUCGUCAGACAAAGUUUCCCUGAAACUAAGCAUGUAGAAAUUCAAAAUCGCUUUCAAUCUGUGGGGUUAGACAGAUAAAGUCAUUCACAUUAGGAUUUGACAACUUUCUCCAAAAGUUGAAUAAAACUUGCAUUAAUUUCAAUAAUCGGCACCAACAACCUCAUUUCAAGCGAUUGGCUUGUAAAAGUUUU
rnacentral:misc_RNA from 1 species